GAUGAAGAACGCAGCGAAAUGCGAUAAGUAAUGUGAAUUGCAGAAUUCAGUGAAUCAUCGAAUCUUUGAACGCACAUUGCGCCCGCCAGUAUUCUGGCGGGCAUGCCUGUCCGAGCGUCAUUUCAACCCUCGAACCCCUCCGGGGGGUCGGCGUUGGGGACCUCGGGAGCCCCUAAGACGGGAUCCCGGCCCCGAAAUACAGUGGCGGUCUCGCCGCAGCCUCUCCUGCGCAGUAGUUUGCACAACUCGCACCGGGAGCGCGGCGCGUCCACGUCCGUAAAACACCCAAAUUCUGAAAUGUUGACCUCGGAUCAGGUAGGAAUACCCGCUGAACUUAAGCAUAUCAAUAAGCGGAGGA
rnacentral:misc_RNA from 1 species